GGCGGGCGAACUGGUGGUCCCUGCCUAAAGCAUGCAGGAGGAAGGAAAGCCCAGCAGCACCCUGCUGAGUCCUGGGUGCAGCACCUCUUUCUGUUUGGAAAUCAAGGAUGAGGCUUUUGGAUGAGAGUAUCCCUCCCACUAACCACCCAUGAGUCUCUAACGAAGGAGGUGAAAAUUCCUUUGAUCAGCCCGUGUUUGUCUGCUCAUCUGCACAAUGGAUGCAAUGUGUCUUCCACCCAGUGAUCCAGUACUAAAGAAAGUGCCUGUCUCAAGCCAGGGGCUGGUAACUUUGACUGCAAGCUGGAUUUGAAGGUGUGAUCGAUCUGCCAGAGGUCCUUGUAACACGUGCAUGGUUUCCUGACCUGGAAUGAAUUGGACAAUGGAUCCAAAGAUAACAGAACUCCUUUAGGCUUGGAGCAGGGCUGGCUGGAGAAGAGAGCUGUUGACCAAGGAGGUUUUAUCUUUCAGAAAUAAAUCAUCAAAAAUGUCA